AUAUAUAUAUAUAUAUAUAUAUAUAUAUAUAUCCUCAUUUAUGAAUCUCCUGCCGAUCGAUCGAUGUACAUUCUAGCCGUUGUAUUGGAACGUAUUUAUGAUGCAUCCAACUGCAUAUACAGUUUCUUAGUUCAACUAAUAUGGUAUCAUGGCCGAGGAACAAAUGGGUGAAUCUUCUGCUGUAUUCUUCUGCAAAUGAUGGGGUUUCUAUGGUGGUUUUCUGAGCUGCUGGCAUAAAGGGAUAUCAGGUUUUCCGUGUUCAUAUAUGCUCUUGUUUCGCAUGUAAGGUGUUUGUGAUAUUGUAUGAGUAAAGUUUGAUAAGAUUUUCAUGGAUAAUUGUUUGAAGGCCGAUACCAUUUCUUGCCAUGAUAUGAUAUGUUUGAUGAAUGUGAUGAACAAUGUUUGAUAAGGCCGAUGCUGAUUGUUUAAUUUCAAUGAAAUUGGUUGAAAGUUUGAGUUUCUUGCUACGGAAGGCCGAUGCCAGUAGUAAAGAAUUGUUGAAGAAUAGUUGUUAAGGCCAAUGCCAGUUACAUUGUUUCAAUAAUAUUGAUUGAAAGAUUGAGUGUUUUGCUAUCAAAAGCUGAAGCCAAUAGUCAAGAAAGUGUGUUGUAUAUUUGCUGAUA